rnacentral:rRNA from 1 species
UGGGGAAUCUUCCGCAAUGGACGAAAGUCUGACGGAGCAACGCCGCGUGAGUGAUGACGGCCUUCGGGUUGUAAAGCUCUGUUAAUCGGGACGAAUGGUUCUUGUGCAAAUAGUGCGAGGAUUGACGGUACCGGAAUAGAAAGCCACGGCUAACUACGUGCCAGCAGCCGCGGUAAUACGUAGGUGGCAAGCGUUGUCCGGAAUUAUUGGGCGUAAAGCGCGCGCAGGCGGAUUGGUCAGUCUGUCUUAAAAGUUCGGGGCUUAACCCCGUGAUGGGAUGGAAACUGCCAAUCUAGAGUAUCGGAGAGGAAAGUGGAAUUCCUAGUGUAGCGGUGAAAUGCGUAGAUAUUAGGAAGAACACCAGUGGCGAAGGCGACUUUCUGGACGAAAACUGACGCUGAGGCGCGAAAGCCAGGGGAGCGAACGGGAUUAGAUACCCCGGUAGUCCUGGCCGUAAACGAUGGGUACUAGGUGUAGGAGGUAUCGACCCCUUCUGUGCCGGAGUUAACGCAAUAAGUACCCCGCCUGGGGAGUACGACGGCAAGGUUG